CUGCGGAAGGAUCAUUACCGAGUGAGGGCCCUCUGGGUCCAACCUCCCACCCAUGUUUAUUGUACCUUGUUGCUUCGGCGGGCCCGCCUCACGGCCGCCGGGGGGCUUCUGCCCUCUGGCCCGCGCCCGCCGAAGACACCAUUGAACACUGUCUGAAGAUUGCAGUCUGAGCAAUUAGCUAAAUAAGUUAAAACUUUCAACAACGGAUCUCUUGGUUCCGGCAUCGAUGAAGAACGCAGCGAAAUGCGAUACGUAAUGUGAAUUGCAGAAUUCAGUGAAUCAUCGAGUCUUUGAACGCACAUUGCGCCCCUUGGUAUUCCGGGGGGCAUGCCUGUCCGAGCGUCAUUGCUGCCCUCAAGCACGGCUUGUGUGUUGGGCCCCGUCCUCCUUCCCGGGGGACGGGCCCGAAAGGCAGCGGCGGCACCGCGUCCGGUCCUCGAGCGUAUGGGGCUUUGUCACCCGCUCUUGUAGGCCCGGCCGGCGCUUGCCGACAACCAUCAAUCUUUUUUCAGGUUGACCUCGGAUCAGGUAGGGAUACCCGCUGAACUUAAGCAUAUCAAUAAGCGGAGGAAAAGAAACCAACAGGGAUUGCCUCAGUAACGGCGAGUGAAGCGGCAAGAGCUCAAAUUUGAAAGCUGGCCCCCUCGGGGUCCGCAUUGUAAUUUGCAGAGGAUGCUUCGGGAGUGGCCCCCAUCUAAGUGCUCUGGAACGGGCCGUCAUAGAGGGUGAGAAUCCCGUAUGGGAUGGGGUGUCCGCGACCAUGUGAAGCU
rnacentral:rRNA from 1 species